rnacentral:lncRNA from 1 species
GUUGGACUAAAUCAGAACCUUCAGUGGAGGCGCCACAUGCCUGCUGAAGAGGUGUCUAGGGCAAAAUUGAAUACUAAAAAUUAUUUGAUGAAAUAAUUGGUUAAGAACCUACCUGUGGAUACACAAGAGUUGGUCGAGCCUCACUCGAGCCCAUGUGCAGUCCAUGUGGAUUCUUGUACCCACUAAUGAAUUAGUGUAAUUCUUCAAAUUGAAGGUAGAGGC